UUUCUCUCCUUGGUGUCGCUGGAAAGACCACCUAGAGAAGGAAAUGAUUUCACACAAUCAAGAGUCACUCGACGAUAGAGCUGUUGCUUCAAGGGGAAAUCCACUGGUUUGCAUGAACAAUGGAUCAUGCAUAGCGGCGCUUUAUGAUGACUUGAGGGACAAUCAUUUUAUUUUGCAUAUUCCAUUUAUGCCUGAAAAUAUGCACACCGUUGAGCGGGUUUACUCACUUGGGCUAUAGUAAGGUAGUCCUGGAGAUGUGGCUUAGCCCUUGGACCUGGCUCUGGACAACUGUCUGGUGGACCUGGUGAUUUCCUUCCCCUGCUGCCUCCGCAGAGCUGCAAGAGCCACUGCUACACUUUACCUGGAAGGGAGCAGAAAA